GCAGGAUACUCAGUUUACAGACACACAGGGUAAACAUGGUGACGGUGGCAAGAACAUGCCGACCAAUACAAACGUCACUCCUAAAGCAACACCACACAUGGAUCCUGACGCGCCGAUAUUUGAUGCGACUCCGCAAAUCAAGUCUACUGGCGGCGUACAACAAGCGGCAGAAACAGACUUGCCUGACAGUGGUUCAUGCUUUGAUCAGACUCCAUCUGAACAUGUUAGC